rnacentral:rRNA from 1 species
CCUACGGGAGGCAGCAGUGGGGAAUAUUGGACAAUGGGCGAAAGCCUGAUCCAGCAAUACCGCGUGUGUGACGAAGGUCUUCGGAUUGUAAAACACUUUUAAUUAGAAAGAGGGUAGGCGUGCUAAUACCACGACCUAUUGACGUUACUAAUAGAAUAAGCACCGGCUAACUCUGUGCCAGCAGCCGCGGUAAU